rnacentral:rRNA from 1 species
GACGAACGCUGGCGGCGUGCUUAACACAUGCAAGUCGAACGAUGAAGCCUUAGCUUGCUUUGGUGGAUUAGUGGCGAACGGGUGAGUAACACGUGAGCAACGUGCCCAGGACUCUGGAAUAACCGCGGGAAACCGUGGCUAAUACCGGAUAGGUGCCGAGGCCGCACGGUCUUCGGUUGGAAAGUUUUUGCGGUUCUGGAUCGGCUCACGGCCUAUCAGCUUGUUGGUGGGGUAAUGGCCUACCAAGGCGACGACGGGUAGCCGGCCUGAGAGGGUGACCGGCCACACUGGGACUGAGACACGGCCCAGACUCCUACGGGAGGCAGCAGUGGGGAAUAUUGCACAAUGGGCGCAAGCCUGAUGCAGCAACGCCGCGUGGGGGAUGACGGCCUUCGGGUUGUAAACCUCUUUUAGUAGGGAAGAAGCGCAAGUGACGGUACCUGCAGAAAAAGCACCGGCUAACUACGUG